rnacentral:rRNA from 1 species
UGGGGAAUUUUGGACAAUGGGCGAAAGCCUGAUCCAGCAAUGCCGCGUGCAGGAUGAAGGCCUUCGGGUUGUAAACUGCUUUUGUACGGAACGAAACGGUUCGCCUUAAUACGGUGGGCUAAUGACGGUACCGUAAGAAUAAGCACCGGCUAACUACGUGCCAGCAGCCGCGGUAAUACGUAGGGUGCGAGCGUUAAUCGGAAUUACUGGGCGUAAAGCGUGCGCAGGCGGUUAUAUAAGACAGAUGUGAAAUCCCCGGGCUCAACCUGGGACCUGCAUUUGUGACUGUAUAGCUAGAGUACGGUAGAGGGGGAUGGAAUUCCGCGUGUAGCAGUGAAAUGCGUAGAUAUGCGGAGGAACACCGAUGGCGAAGGCAAUCCCCUGGACCUGUACUGACGCUCAUGCACGAAAGCGUGGGGAGCAGACAGGAUUAGAUACCCUGGUAGUCCACGCCCUAAACGAUGUCGACUAGCCGUUGGGCCCAUUUAAGGGUUUAGUGGCGAAGCUAACGCGUGAAGUUGACCGCCUGGGGAGUACGGCCGCAAGGUG